rnacentral:tRNA from 1 species
GCCGCUGUGGCGGAACAGGCAGACGCCCGGGAUUUAAAAUCCCGUGAUGUAUUACAUCGUACCGGUUCGAUCCCGGUCAGCGGCACCA